CCGUACCGCAAACCGACACAGGUAGUCAAGAUGAGAAUUCUAAGGUGAGCGAGCGAACUCUCGUUAAGGAACUCGGCAAAAUGACCCCGUAACUUCGGGAGAAGGGGUGCUCUUUAGGGUUAACGCCCAGAAGAGCCGCAGUGAAUAGGCCCAAGCGACUGUUUAUCAAAAACACAGGUCUCUGCUAAACCGUAAGGUGAUGUAUAGGGGCUGACGCCUGCCCGGUGCUGGAAGGUUAAGAGGAGUGGUUAGCUUCUGCGAAGCUACGAAUCGAAGCCCCAGUAAACGGCGGCCGUAACUAUAACGGUCCUAAGGUAGCGAAAUUCCUUGUCGGGUAAGUUCCGACCCGCACGAAAGGCGUAACGAUUUGGGCACUGUCUCAACGAGAGACUCGGUGAAAUCAUAGUACCUGUGAAGAUGCAGGUUACCCGCGACAGGACGGAAAGACCCCGUGGAGCUUUACUGUAGCCUGAUAUUGAAAUUCGGCACAGCUUGUACAGGAUAGGUAGGAGCCUUUGAAACGUGAGCGCUAGCUUACGUGGAGGCGCUGGUGGGAUACUACCCUAGCUGUGUUGGCUUUCUAACCCGCACCACUUAUCGUGGUGGGAGACAGUGUCAGGCGGGCAGUUUGACUGGGGCGGUCGCCUCCUAAAAGGUAACGGAGGCGCUCAAAGGUUCCCUCAGAAUGGUUGGAAAUCAUUCAUAGAGUGUAAAGGCAUAAGGGAGCUUGACUGCGAGACCUACAAGUCGAGCAGGGUCGAAAGACGGACUUAGUGAUCCGGUGGUUCCGCAUGGAAGGGCCAUCGCUCAACGGAUAAAAGCUACCCCGGGGAUAACAGGCUUAUCUCCCCCAAGAGUUCACAUCGACGGGGAGGUUUGGCACCUCGAUGUCGGCUCAUCGCAUCCUGGGGCUGUAGUCGGUCCCAAGGGUUGGGCUGUUCGCCCAUUAAAGCGGUACGCGAGCUGGGUUCAGAACGUCGUGAGACAGUUCGGUCCCUAUCCGUCGUGGGCGUAGGAAAUUUGAGAGGAGCUGUCCUUAGUACGAGAGGACCGGGAUGGACAUACCUCUGGUGUACCAGUUGUCGUGCCAACGGCAUAGCUGGGUAGCUAUGUGUGGACGGGAUAAGUGCUGAAAGCAUCUAAGCAUGAAGCCCCCCUCAAGAUGAGAUUUCCCAACUUCGGUUAUAAGAUCCCUCAAAGAUGAUGAGGUUAAUAGGUUCGAGGUGGAAGCAUGGUGACAUGUGGAGCUGACGAAUACUAA
rnacentral:rRNA from 1 species